UCAGGAGAACGAGGUAGACGGGAUAAAAGGAAAAUGCUUCCAAAGACAUUCCUCCUACUCUAUCUGCUUCUCCUUUCCACUUCAUUCAUUCCAUCGGGGACGACUGCUAGGGAGCUUGUUAAACCAAGUGAUUCUGAUCUAUAUUUCCUCCCAAGAAGUAAAUUUAAUCUAUCAUGUUCUUUCUUACUCUUUUAUACUUGACCUCCCUACUGCACCAAGACAUGGGCCAUAUGUAUAAAAAAUAAUCAUUUAGCUAGG
rnacentral:lncRNA from 1 species